AAUCUAAACCGUCAACCAAACGAUCGAACGGUUCAUAUUAAGUCAAGAGUUUCAAAGACUUCUUCUGCCUUUCCCCAAAAUUCCACGCGUUUUCUCUGCCCACAAAGCAUGGCGAGUCCCUUCCAUUGCCCAAAAAACACAACAAAUCAAAUGACCCAUGCUCUUCUCCCUUUCUCCCUCUUCUCCAACAUGACCAAACUAAAACCCUAGCACCGCGUCAUCUAUGUCCACUGCAAAUUCUGCUAGAUUCUCCCUAUUUUUGCAUCUUCCUAACCCGUGACUUUAACAAAUCAGGGAAACCAAUUUUCCAAUCGGUGCUACAAUGAAAUUUGGUUUCAAAUCCGCAUUAAAGAGACAAAAUCGUUCAAAAUUGCGAAGAGAGUUGUCAUUUUUAAUUUUUGAUCCUCCUUUUUGAUUUGUCCUUUAGUUUCCAUGAAAUAUGGAUUUCAAAUCUGGAAUUUGAAAUUUGGAUUUGCCUACAUGUACCCACAAUUUUAUACAUCUCAAAAACAAGUUUUGAGGAGGAGAGAAAAAGUUGGACGAAAACCUGUUAACAUAGAAUUUUUGCAAGCAAAGUCACAAAAUUGCAAUUUUAUUUUCUUAUUUUCGGUCUAGGUUUGGGUUCUCAGAGUUUGAAAACUGAAAAUCCUUGACGUUGGAGCUCUGAUUUGCUGCCAAAACAAGGCUUGGUUAUUUGAAGUCUGUCCUAUUUAAGACAACAAGUGACCUACCAAGAAAAAGUUUCUUGUUCAAGAAUCCUGAGUUGGUUGUUGGCCAAAACUGAUAAAAAUGUAAAUUUUCUUGAUCUCUUCAACUCCUCGAAAAAAGAAAUUGUCCAUCCGUGACUUGUUCCGACAAAUCGAGAGUUGAAGAUGCCAUUUUUUCUUAACAGUCUAUGCAAACUUUAUCGGAUCAUAAGGUCAUUAAUAUUAUAAAAAAGGAAUUGUUUGGAGCAACAACCAUCACAAGAAAAAUAAUUUUAGAGGGUGGGCUUGUUGUUGAUGAUGGUAGUAGUAGUGGUGCUGCUGUUGGGGAUAAUGAUGCUCGUCUUAUAGUUUUUGAAACAACAAACCAUUAUGAUUAUGAUUAUACUGGUUAUACAGAUUUUUCCAUUUCUAGCGAAUGUUUGACAUGCAAAUUUCAAGACUGCAAGGUGAAAUAUGAUGAAGUGAUUAAUGCAUUAAUUGCUUUUAUAAAGGAAAUGCCAUCUAAAAUGGGUGUAAUUCCAUUAAAGAAGAUUUCAUAUAUUCAUACACUCUACUACAGAUCAAGGUGGAUAAGAGGGGAAGGAAAGAAAUUUCUAAGGAAUCAUUGAGCAUCGAAAAAAGCCAAAUUGCAAUUCCUCUAUCUUUGUCUUACAUCUUUGAUCAAUGUAUAAGGUCCACAGGAGAGCAGCACAAGCUGAAGAAGGUGAAUGUAUAUCGUCUGUUCCAAUAAACAAAUAGACACAUAUCUGUUUCAACAGAUGGUACAUCUGUUAAAAAUUAUCAAAUAAAUAUAUAUACAUAUGUUGCAACUAUCAUCUAACUUAUUGUAUCAGAUGCAUUAUCUGUUGCAACAUAUGCUCGUCUGUUUCAGUAAAUCAAGCAGGUCUUCAUACUAUUUUAAUUUAUACCAACAGAUGAGUCAUAUAUUACAACAGAUGGGUUAUCUGUUUGAAAUUAUCGUACAACUCUAUUUUACCUGUUUGAAUUUGUCCCAACAGAUAAUCCAUCUAAUGCAACAGAUAGGUAAUCUGCUGUUUAUCUGUGAUUAGCAUUGAUAAUUCUGGCUUUCCAGGUGGAUGUCAUAGUAGAAGCUAUUGCUGAAUAGCAUAAUAUCAAAGUUGAUAAUCCAUCAACUGCUUCCAUGAAAGAAGACAAAGUGGAGCCUGUCAGUCUGGGAGAAUAUAAGAAUUACCUGUUUGAAGAGUUCAGCAUCUCGGAUGAGGCUCCUAAAAAACUAACAAAGUUGAUCAACGACUAUUUAGAAUGGAUUGUCGAUGGGACGUUAAAGCAUCAUGUCGGCAGGUUUGUACUGAUUGAUCGACGAUUGAAGCAUACUGGGAUAAAAUGAGUAAUUUAUUUGAUGUUGAAUAUGUUGAAGGAAUUUCUCAACAACCCAUUGGUAGCCA